GGCCCGCGUGAAACCCUCUCUGCUGCCUCGACUGACUGUCGUUUCCGUGUCUUGAUUGUGGCCUCUGCCUCUCCCCCUUCCGAUUUCGUUCGACUUCUUUCUACAGUUACUAAGCGCCCACUGUGUGCCCUGGAAGGGACUAGACUCAGCAGGAAAAACAUCCAGGCAAGUGGACAGCAUUUGCAACAGCCCAGCAAUAAGAAGGACCAUAUUCUACUUGGGAAAAGGUAAAGUCGUUUCAUAUGGACGGAGGUGAGUUCAAGGGGGAAAAGAAAUGGAACUUGCCAAGUAAGUGGAGGCUGGCUCUUAAAGUUUGUUCUUCAGGCAAUGGGGAGCCAUUGAUAAGAUGUUAGUUAGAGAGUGCUUAUGUUAAUUCUCAAUUUAUUAUUAAAAUACUUUGAAUAUUUUAGGAACAUAUUUCGAGCUCUACACAUACUUCUUGUAUUUUGGUGGUCUUGAAGUCACAGGGCAGAGCUAGGAGUUAAUUUCAGUUCCAACUCAUGGUAUGACUUAGCAAGUAAAGUCUUAUUUUAGGUCCUUAGUUUUCUCAUCUCUAAAUGAAGAAAAAGAAAAGCAAGGGAUUGGCAAGCUUAACAUGCUCAAUAGUUUUUCUUUGCUGAACUAUUCCCGGAGGGUCAACCAGCCUUCAAUAGGUGUGAUUAAUAAGUUACAAAAGAUAAAUAGAGUGUCUUCAAAGAUUUUAUGUUCCUUAUUUAAAUUUUACCUGUCUUUACAGCCUGCCAGGAAACCUGUCAUUCAACCCUUUGCAAUAAAACAGCUCCUCAUGAAUGAAGCAAAAUAAAUCAGAAGUUGUGGGCUUUUAAACUCACUAAAUGAAAGCACAGCAUGCAUGCAGCCUCCCUCCAAAUUAAUCACCAGAUUAAAUGCAAGAUGUGCACACCAAAUCAAUAGCUUGUGACGGGGACCUCCUGCCUGUGCUUCAGGAAAAUUCCAUUUCCUUUCAGAUGUUGUCGCUUGAAAUGUCAGGAAGUUUCCAUUCAUCACCCGCC
rnacentral:lncRNA from 10 species